CCUACGGGAGGCAACAGUGAGGAAUAUUGGUCAAUGGGCGAGAGCCUGAACCAGCCAAGUCGCGUGAGGGAGUACUGCCCUAUGGGUUGUAAACCUCUUUUGUCGGGGAGCAAAAGCAGGACGUGUCCGGCUGUGAGAGUACCCGAAGAAAAAGCAUCGGCUAACUCCGUGCCAGCAGCCGCGGUAAUACGGAGGAUGCGAGCGUUAUCCGGAUUUAUUGGGGUUAAAGGGUGCGCAGGCGGAUUUUUAAGUCAGCGGUCAAAUCGUGGGGCUCAACCCCAUCCAGCCGUUGAAACUGGGGAUCUAGAGUGUGCGAGAGGUAUGCGGAAUGCGUGGUGUAGCGGUGAAAUGCAUAGAUAUCACGCAGAACCCCGAUUGCGAAGGCAGCAUACCGGUGCACAACUGACGCUCAGGCACGAAAGCGUGGGUAUCGAACAGGAUUAGAUACCCCUGUAGUC
rnacentral:rRNA from 1 species